UACGUAGGGUGCGAGCGUUAAUCGGAAUUACUGGGCGUAAAGGGCGCGUAGGCGGCUUAUCAAGUCAGGCGUGAAAUUCCCGGGCUCAACCUGGGGGCUGCGCUUGAUACUGAUGAGCUUGAAUGCGGGAGAGGAUAGUGGAAUUCCCAGUGUAGAGGUGAAAUUCGUAGAUAUUGGGAAGAACACCGGUGGCGAAGGCGGCUAUCUGGCCCGUAAUUGACGCUGAGGCGCGAAAGCGUGGGGAGCAAACAGG
rnacentral:rRNA from 1 species